rnacentral:rRNA from 1 species
GGGUGAUCUAUCCAUGAGCAGGUUGAAGCAAGGGUAAAGCCUUGUGGAGGACCGAACCGUCAACGGCUGAAAACGUUCCGGAUGACUUGUGGAUAGGGGUGAAAGGUCAAUCAAACCCGGUGAUAGCUGGUUCUCCCCGAAAUAUAUUGAGGUAUAGCCUCGGGAAUUGAUUAGCGGAGGUAAAGCACUGACAGAGCUAGGGGUCCUACCAGAUUACCAAACUCUAUCAAACUCAGAAUGCCGCUUAAUUGUAUCCCGGGAGUCAGACGGCGGGUGCGAAGGUUCGUCGUCAAAAGGGAAACAGCCCAGACCAACAGCUAAGGUCUCCAAAUCCAUGCUCAGUGGUGAAGGUAGUGGAACCGUUCAGACAGCCAGGACGUUGGCUUAGAAGCAGCCAUCGUUUAAAGAAAGCGUAAUAGCUCACUGGUCUAAUGGCUCUGCGCCGAAAAUGUAACGGGGCUAAGCAUGGUACCGAAGCUUUGGCAAUCUCCUUUGGAGAUUGGGUAGGGGAGCGUUCGCUGCGGGCUGAAGGUGUGCCGGAAGGCAUGCUGGACUGCAGUGAAGUGAUUAUGCUGACAUGAGUAACGAUAAAAUAUGUGAAAAACAUAUUCGCCGAAAACCCGAGGUUUCCUGGGUAAAGGUAAUCUUCCCAGGGUUAGUCGGAUCCUAAGGUGAGGGUGAAAGCCGUAACCGAUGGAAAACAGGUUAAUAUUCCUGUACUUGUUGUGUAGCGCGAUGGAGGGACGCAGGAAGAUAGGCGGGCCGGGUGUUGGAUAUCCCGGUGCAAGCGUGUAGGAAUAUCCGGUAGGCAAAUCCGCCGGACGAAUCUGAGACGCGAGUCCGUGGGCGCAAGCCCUGAAGCCGUUGAGUCUAUGCUGCCUAGAAAAGCUCCUAAGUUUAUCCACAGCAAUCCGUACCGCAAACCAACUCAGGUGGGUGGGAUGAAUAAUCCAAGGCGCUCGAGAGAACUCUGGCCAAGGAACUCGGCAAAAUAACCCCGUAACUUCGGAAGAAGGGGUGCUCUCUAGGGUGACAUGUUUAACAUAUGAAGCCCCGGGGAGCCGCAGUGAAUUGGUGGUGGCGACUGUUUACUAAAAACAUAGGUCUGUGCGAAGUCCUAAAGACGACGUAUACGGACUGACGCCUGCCCGGUGCUGGAAGGUUAAAAGGAGGGGUCAGCGCAAGCAAAGCUCCGAAUUGAAGCCCCAGUAAACGGCGGCCGUAACUAUAACGGUCCUAAGGUAGCGAAAUUCCUUGUCGGGUAAGUUCCGACCUGCACGAAUGGCGUAACGAUCUCCACACUGUCUCGGCCAGAGACUCGGUGAAAUUGCAGUCGCGGUGAAAAUUCCGUGUACCCGCAGAAAGACGGAAAGACCCUGUGCACCUUUACUAUAGCUUGACAUUGGAUUUUGGGCCUGCAUGUGUAGGAUAGGUGGGAGGCUGUGAACCCUGUACGCCAGUAUGGGGGGAGCCAUCCUUGAAAUACCACCCUUGCAUGUUUAAGAUCCUAACUUCUUCCGGUUAUCCCGGAGAAAGACAGUGUCUGGCGGGUAGUUUGACUGGGGCGGUCGCCUCCUAAAGUGUAACGGAGGCAUGCAAAGGUUCCCUCAGCCUGAUCGGAAACCAGGCGCUGAGUGCAAACGCAUAAGGGAGCUUGACUGUAAGAGAGACAUCUCGAACAGGAACGAAAGUUGGCGUUAGUGAUCCGGUGGUCCCGUAUGGAAGGGCCAUCGCUCAUUGGAUAAAAGGUACGCCGGGGAUAACAGGCUGAUCGCAUCCAAGAGUUCACAUCGACGAUGCGGUUUGGCACCUCGAUGUCGGCUCAUCACAUCCUGGGGCUGAAGCAGGUCCCAAGGGUACGGCUGUUCGCCGUUUAAAGUGGUACGCGAGCUGGGUUUAAAACGUCGUGAGACAGUUUGGUCCCUAUCUUCUGUGGGCGAAGGAGAAUUGAGAGGGCCUGUCCCUAGUACGAGAGGACCGGGAUGGACGCACCCCUGGUGAUCCUGUUGUCGCGCCAGCGGCAUAGCAGGGUAGCUAUGUGCGGAAGGGAUAACCGCUGAAAGCAUCUAAGCGGGAAGCCUGCCUCAAGAUAAGUUCUCCCCUCGAAAGAGCUGAAGGGCCCGGGUAGACUACCCGGUCGAUAGGCUGGAGGUGUAAGCGCGGCGACGUGCUCAGCUGACCAGUACUAAUAGCCCGAGCGGCUUAUUUUU